AACUUGUAACAAUGUAUCUCUUGGUUCUGGCAUCGAUGAAGAACGCAGCGAAAUGCGAUAAGUAAUGUGAAUUGCAGAAUUCAGUGAAUCAUCGAAUCUUUGAACGCACAUUGCGCCCUCUGGUAUUCCGGAGGGCAUGCCUGUUCGAGCGUCAUUAGACCAAUCAAGCACGGCUUGGUGUUGGGGUUCGCCGUCUGGCGGCCCUUAAAAACAGUGGCGGUGCCGUCUGGCUCUCAGCGUAGUAACUUAUCUCGCUGUUGGGUCCUACAGUCGCUUGCCAACAACCUCUAAUUUACUCAGGUUGACCUCGGAUCAGGUAGGGAUACCCGCUGAACUUAAGCAUAUCAAUAAGCGGAGGCU
rnacentral:misc_RNA from 1 species